rnacentral:rRNA from 1 species
UAGAGGCAGGAGAAGUGGUAACAAGCUUUCGGUAGGAGCACUUUCGGAAGGAUCAUUG